CAAAAGCAAAGUUUUGAGGUUCUGAGCAAAUGUUGGCCAGCCAUCAUUCAAGCCUCAUCUUUUUGUACUCAAUUUUCCCCGUUUCUCCACAUCAUAUCUAUCUGCACUGACAAAAUUUCAUAGAAUCUAAUUUCUCCGUUUCAAAGAAGGCUGUGAUUGCUCUGUAAAUUAUGAGACCUGCAUCCUUCACCAAAUCUGCUUCAGAGACAUUGAUCCUACGUUGCCUCAAAAAGCCUCGGACCACUCCUUGGGUUCGAG
rnacentral:lncRNA from 1 species